UAUUAAGGAUGAACCAUUAUCCCGAACCUGAUUCCUGUAAGAUUGACAACCCUGUCGGAUCUGACUUCUGAAAU